rnacentral:rRNA from 1 species
CCUACGGGUGGCAGCAGUGAGGAAUAUUGGUCAAUGGGCGGGAGCCUGAACCAGCCAAGCCGCGUGAGGGAAGAAGGUACAGCGUAUCGUAAACCUCUUUUGUCAGGGAACAAAGGCGGGGACUAGUCCCCGGAUGAGGGUACCUGAAGAAAAAGCAUCGGCUAACUCCGUGCCAGCAGCCGCGGUAAUACGGGGGAUGCGAGCGUUAUCCGGAUUGAUUGGGUUUAAAGGGUGCGCAGGCGGCCUGUUAAGUCAGCGGGAAAAGCCCGGGGCUCAACCCCGGCGAGCCGUUGAAACUGGCGGGCUGGAGUUGGAGAGAGGUACGCGGAAUGCGCGGUGUAGCGGUGAAAUGCUUAGAGAUCGCGCAGAACCCCGAUUGCGAAGGCAGCGUACCGGCUCCACACUGACGCUGAGGCACGAAAGCGUGGGUAUCGAACAGGAUUAGAUACCCUAGUAGUC